GGAAACUUGAAAACUACCAUUGGAUCGAGAAAUGAACGUCCGAGAUUCGUUUACGUCAUCAUGAGUUAAAAUUUAACUCCGAGUAAAAUUUUAACUCAUGAGUGAAUCUGCGAGUUAAAUUUUAACUCAUGAUGACGUGGACGAAUCUCAGACGUCUAUUUCUCGAUUCAACGGUAGUUUCCAAGUUUCC
rnacentral:pre_miRNA from 1 species